rnacentral:rRNA from 1 species
AUUGAACGCUGGCGGCAUGCCUUACACAUGCAAGUCGAACGGUAACGGGCCUUCGGGUGCCGACGAGUGGCGAACGGGUGAGUAAAGUAUCGGAACGUACCUUUCAGUGGGGGAUAACGUAGCGAAAGUUACGCUAAUACCGCAUAUUCUGUGAGCAGGAAAGCAGGGGAUCGCAAGACCUGGUGCGGAUUGAGCGGCCGAUAUCAGAUUAGCUAGUUGGUGAGGUAAAGGCUCACCAAGGCGACGAUCUGUAGCGGGUCUGAGAGGAUGAUCCGCCACACUGGAACUGAGACACGGUCCAGACUCCUACGGGAGGCAGCAGUGGGGAAUUUUGGACAAUGGGGGCAACCCUGGUCCAGCCAUGCCGCGUGAGUGAAGAAGGCCUUCGGGUUGUAAAGCUCUUUCGGCCGGGAAGAAAUCGUAUCAGCUAAUACCUGGUGCGGAUGACGGUACCGGCAUAAGAAGCACCGGCUAACUACGUGCCAGCCGCCGCUGUAAGAC